UACAGAGGGUGCAAGCGUUGUUCGGAAUUAUUGGGCGUAAAGGGUGCGUAGGCGGUGCGGUAAGUCUGUAGUGAAAUCUCUGGGCUCAACUCAGAGUCUGCUAUAGAAACUGCCGUGCUUGAGUGUGGGAGAGGUGAGUGGAAUUCCCGGUGUAGCGGUGAAAUGCGUAGAUAUCAGGAGGAACACCGGUGGCGAAGGCGGCGACCUGGUCCGACACUGACGCUGAGGCGCGAAAGCGUGGGGAGCAAACAGG
rnacentral:rRNA from 1 species